GAAAUGCGAUAAGUAGUGUGAAUUGCAGAAUUCAGUGAAUCAUCGAAUCUUUGAACGCCCAUUGCGCCCCUUGGUAUUCCAUGGGGCAUGCCUGUUCGAGCGUCAUUUGUACCCUCAAGCUCUGCUUGGUGUUGGGUGUUUGUCCCGUCUCCGCGCGUGGACUCGCCCCAAAGUGAUUGGCAGCCGGCGUACUGGUCCCGGAGCGCAGCACAUGUCGCGCAAACGAGUGCCUUGGUACGGCGGCGUCCAUAAGCCCCUCUCUCACGCUCUUGACCUCGGAUCAGGUAGGGAUACCCGCUGAACUUAAGC
rnacentral:misc_RNA from 1 species